rnacentral:lncRNA from 1 species
GACGGGAAUUUGUCUUUUUCUUCUUUGGGUAUCGUCUUUCGAAAGCAACUCUGUAUGAUAGUACCUCGCAAGACAAAAUAAGGGAAAUUAUUAGGAAAACAUAAAGUAAACAAUAAACUAAUUUAUUUUGUAAUGAUUUUAUUUGAAAAUGUUUUUGGAAGAUUGUUUUUGAUAAUAGUUUGAAAAUGUUUUUGGGAAAUUAUUUUUUUGGAAAAUAAUUUUGGGAAAUAGUUUAAAAAUAAUAUAUGAGGCUCAAAUUAUGAUUUCAAUUUCCAUCUAGACAUGAGAACGGGAACCUCCUUGGUUGCGACUACGAUAGCUAAUCGUGUCGCCUUCCGAAGGGCUAUUGGUUCAUCACAUUCUCAUCUUUUCCCUUUCCGAUGUUUAUCGUCAUCGCCUCGUACUUUCGGGCCCAAUCCGAGGGUGAUUAUUCUCAAAAUAUUAUUCUCAUCGACCUUGUCAAGUGUAGUAUCGUUCAAAGCAUCAGCCAUCCCAAACAGUCAAACAAACCAGCAAAGUGGCAUUUGUAACACUGUCCAAACGCCACUGUCCAAACCAAUAUUGUGAAUUAACCAAACUACCGAGAACAUAAAAUAGGUCCAAACGAUGAAAUCCAAUUCCCACGCCACAAAGAGCAGCCAGAACUUCAAAAUGUCAGCCAACAAAGCAAUGUAAAAUAACAUCCAAAACAUAGAAAUAAGGAAAUGAACAGUCGAUACAAAGCCAAAUAAAUAGCAGAACGGACGAAGGCCAACAGAAACAACCAAAACUCCCAGUAGCCAAAAAAUAUGGGCCUGCCGAAAAAUACUCCGGCCAGAUCUCACUAAGUCACAAACAAAGAUUCUCGACCAGAUUUAUAGAUCUGGCUUUAUUAACACUGAGCACGUAACACAUAAAAGGGGGAUAAAGUCGUCGAAAAACAUAAGGCACAAAAAAUGGCUAAACAGUCCACACCCCAUAAAAGAAACAAGAUUCCCACCAUAUCAAAUGGCAACAGCAAAAUCGUUGGCGUUACUUUGACGGCGAACACCGAAAUAACACCUAACCCCAAAAAUACGCUGCCGACAUCAACAUUUUCGGCCAAAACCAAUAGAUCUUGUCAAGGUUUGGAAGAAGAAGGUAGAAACGAGAAUGAAGAGAGAACCAAUGGGGAGGUGGUCAUUGGUCGC